GUGAACGCUGGCGGUAGGCCUAACACAUGCAAGUCGAACGGCAGCACAGUAAGAGCUUGCUCUUACGGGUGGCGAGUGGCGGACGGGUGAGGAAUACAUCGGAAUCUACUUUUUCGUGGGGGAUAACGUAGGGAAACUUACGCUAAUACCGCAUACGACCUACGGGUGAAAGCAGGGGAUCUUCGGACCUUGCGCGAUUGAAUGAGCCGAUGUCGGAUUAGCUAGUUGGCGGGGUAAAGGCCCACCAAGGCGACGAUCCGUAGCUGGUCUGAGAGGAUGAUCAGCCACACUGGGACUGAGACACGGUCCAGACUCCUACGGGAGGCAGCAGUGGGGAAUAUUGGACAAUGGGCGCAAGCCUGAUCCAGCCAUACCGCGUGGGUGAAGAAGGCCUUCGGGUUGUAAAGCCCUUUUGUUGGGAAAGAAAAGCAGCAGGUUAAUACCCCGCUGUUCUGACGGUACCCAAAGAAUAAGCACCGGCUAACUUCGUG
rnacentral:rRNA from 1 species